AACCCGUAAGGGAGGCAGCGACCUAAGGUAGGGUCAGCGAUUGGGGUGAAGUCGUAACAAGGUAGCCGUAGGAGAACCUGCGGCUGGAUCACCUCCUUUCUAUGGAGA
rnacentral:rRNA from 1 species